CCUUUUUCUCUGUGCAUCCUCAGUGACGCGGGGCACAGCUCUGCCCGGGGGCCUACCAGAGCCCACCUGGACCCCACACUGGGUCAGCCCUGGUGCGGAGGAGGCCGCUGUAGGCGCGGCCAGGUCACAGUCGGCACCAGAAGUUUGGCAGAUCUCAGUGAGGCGUUAGUUUGCAUUUCCUUGUGACGGGAACAGUACAACAUGAGGAAGCAGAAUCAAUGCACAGAAAUUAAGCUAAUGUCUUCAGUCUUUGCAACACCACUUGAGCAGCUUGACCAAGUCACUCAUGCCUAGUGGCCCCGUUAGUUGCUCUUCUCCCAUCAAUGAGCUUUGGAAUUUUCAUCAGUAGCUGCCUAUGCAUUACUCAUGGAUCAGAGAGCAGAAAGACACCAGACAUUGCCAAGUCCCACCUAGGUAGCUACACAGGGAGCCCUGUAUUGACCAUGGCCCAG
rnacentral:lncRNA from 1 species